CUACGGGUCGCUGCAGUGGGGAAUAUUGCACAAUGGAGGAAACUCUGAUGCAGCAACGCCGCGUGGAGGAUGACACUUUUCGGAGCGUAAACUCCUUUUAUAUAGGAAGAAGAUGACGGUACUAUAUGAAUAAGCGCCGGCUAACUCCGUGCCAGCAGCCGCGGUAUACGGAGGGCGCAAGCGUUACUCGGAAUCACUGGGCGUAAAGAGCGUGUAGGCGGAUUAAAAAGUCAGAAGUGAAAUCCUAGAGCUUAACUAUAGAACUGCUUCUGAAACUCUUAAUCUAGAAUAUGGGAGAGGUAGAUGGAAUUUCUGGUGUAGGGGUAAAAUCCGUAGAGAUCAGAAGGAAUACCGAUUGCGAAGGCGAUCUACUAGAACAUUAUUGACGCUGAGACGCGAAAGCGUGGGGAGCAAACAGGAUUAGAUACCCGCGUAGUC
rnacentral:rRNA from 1 species